rnacentral:ncRNA from 1 species
UCUAGUAGCUGGUUCCCUCCGAAGUUUCCCUCAGGAUAGCUGGAGCCCAUUACGAGUUCUAUCAGGUAAAGCCAAUGAUUAGAGGCAUUGGGGAUGCCACGUCCUCGACCUAUUCUCAAACUUUAACUAGAUGCGUAUAACUUCUUGUAAUGUAUGCUAGACGAAGUUAUUACGGGUGGUGCAUCGUUGGCAGGGCCACGCGGGCGGCCAGCUGGUCUAACCAUCCUGUUAAAUAUUUAACAUGGGUAGUUUAGCUUAAAGUAAUUGCAAAGGCAUCGCACGCAUUCAUGAAGUAA